AGUGAACGCUGGCGGUAGGCCUAACACAUGCAAGUCGAACGGCAGCACAGGAGAGCUUGCUCUCUGGGUGGCGAGUGGCGGACGGGUGAGGAAUACAUCGGAAUCUACUUUUUCGUGGGGGAUAACGUAGGGAAACUUACGCUAAUACCGCAUACGACCUACGGGUGAAAGCAGGGGACCUUCGGGCCUUGCGCGAUUGAAUGAGCCGACGUCGGAUUAGCUAGUUGGCGGGGUAAAGGCCACCAAGGCGACGAUCCGUAGCUGGUCUGAGAGGAUGAUCAGCCACACUGGAACUGAGACACGGUCCAGACUCCUACGGGAGGCGGCAGUGGGGAAUAUUGGACAAUGGGCGCAAGCCUGAUCCAGCCAUACCGCGUGGGUGAAGAAGGCCUUCGGGUUGUAAAGCCCUUUUGUUGGGAAAGAAAUCCAGCCGGUUAAUACCUGGUUGGGAUGACGGUACCCAAAGAAUAAGCACCGGCUAACUUCGUGCCAGCCGCCGCAGUAACAC
rnacentral:rRNA from 1 species